UGGGGAAUAUUGCACAAUGGGGGAAACCCUGAUGCAGCGACGCCGCGUGAACGAAGAAGGUAUUCGUAUCGUAAAGUUCUGUCCUAUGGGAAGAUAAUGACAGUACCAUAGAAGAAAGCUCCGGCUAAAUACGUGCCAGCAGCCUCGGUAAUACGUAUGGAGCGAGCGUUGUCCGGAAUUAUUGGGCGUAAAGGGUACGCAGGCAGUUUAAUAAGUCGAAUGUUAAAGAUCUGGGCUCAACCCCGCAAAGCAUUGGAAACUGAUAAGCUUGAGUAGUGGAGAGGAAAGUGGAAUUCCUAGUGUAGUGGUGAAAUACAUAGAUAAUAGAAGGAAUAGCAGUAGCGAAGGCGACUUUCUGGACACAAACUGACCCUGAGGUACGAAAGCGUGGGGAGCAGACAGG
rnacentral:rRNA from 1 species